rnacentral:misc_RNA from 1 species
AUAAUUUCAGAAACUAAAAAUACCCGCGCAAAAGGCGAGUAAAUGUCUAGUUUGAUUAAUUCUACAUACAAAAUACCAAGCAGGAAUCAUCCAACAUCAUCUGAGUACCAACACACAAAACUUUAAACUUUCAUGAGCCUAUGACCAACCCAAAAUAUAUACAAGAACAUAUACCAGUGCCAGUGAGAAGGGAUAGAGGAG